UUACAUAACUCAAAAGCGAUGAGCAGCUAAUUUUUUUGUGAAACCUUCAAAGAACUGACGAACACAUACAAUUCUUGUUCAUUGAUCUUUAGUUUCUACAAUAAAUACAUUAAUUUCUAUUGGCACUCCUCGGCCACCGUACACGAGUGUGGACACGCAAGAGUGGAUAGGAUAUUGGCCAUGUAUCGACUGUUGAAACUCUCACCUUUCUCCACUCAAAAGUUCAUAUGAUGUUGCUGAAGUCUUAGCUUUCCAGAACGUUAAAGAUGAAAACCUAAAAAUUUAUCCGAACAACAUUUCCAACAACAAUCUGCUUAUCAAAAAACACAUAACUGCCAUCUACAACAAGAAUGUUAAAUAUCAGAACCUGAAAGUUUCAACCGUCGAACAGUUGAAUAUAACCCUUAGCAACUUGUAAUGCUGUAGUUUUAGAUCAAUCAAACAAAGUUACAAAUUCAAACAACAACAAUUGCUUACUAAAAACAAAUCACUGUCAUUUGAAGCCAGGUUCAUAAAACCAUCUUUUAUUGCUACAAACACUUUAUCUGACAUCAUUGAGAAAUGGCAAACUUGUGAUUCAAAUAUGGACGACUUUGUGUAAAGCUUAAGGUACCAUACACUUGCCUCUCUUAUCUGCGCAUGCAAAGCGAAAAAAGGAAUUUUGUUUGACAAAG